UAAAAGUGGAGACCAGCAACCACUUAAAAACGGGGCGAAUCCGAAAAGCCUAAUGAGUAGGAAAAUU
rfam:Bacteroidetes bacterium GWF2_35_48 gwf2_scaffold_1272, whole genome shotgun sequence.